rnacentral:misc_RNA from 1 species
UUUGCUUUGUACAUGAUUGUAGGGCUCGCUUUCUGCACACAGGGCGGUGCCUAUGUGGUGUCCCUGAUGGACAGGUAUGCGGCAGGCUAUUCCAUUCUGUUUGCGGUGUUCUUCGAGAGUUUGGUGUUGUCGUGGGCUUACGGCGUUGAGAGAUUUUCAAACGAUAUUCGGACUAUGCUUGGUCACCCAGCAGGAAUUUACUGGAAAAUCUGCUGGAAGUUUGUAGCUCCUUUAUUCAUCCUGUGGAUCAUGAUUUUCGGCCUGGUUCAGUAUACCCCGCACAGUUACGAUGCCUACGUUUACCCGUGGGAGGCCAACUUCAUUGGUUGGUGUGUGGCCCUCUCCUCCGUUCUCUGUAUCCCUCUCUUCGCUGUCAUUGGAUUCAUCAGCGCCAGCGGCACACCCUCUGAGCGGUUAAGAUUUCUCUUGACCCCGACCAAUGACAAAGCGAUCCAGGCGACGGCAGGAUACCACGUGGUUCGGAUGAACGGUGGAAUGGUAAUCGGAGAGAAGGUGUAGGAAUCUUCCGCAGCCAGUGUGCACUCCAAGUAGCGUGUCCGGAAUUAUCCGUAUGUUCUAUUCUAGUCCGGGGUCUAGUCAUGGGAAGAAUGAUAUGUAUGAAACGAUAGAACUAUCACUUCCGGUUUAAAGACACGAAAUAGUUAAUUCAUUCAUAGGAUGGAGUUGUGUUGUUUAGUUAAUGUAGGGAAACCUUUAUUAUUCUGGAAACUUUUUCCAUAACAGUCUAAGAAACUAUGUUAAGUCUUGAAAGUAGGUAGCAAGACAAACCGUCAGCACAACAGCCAAAUCAUGACCAAUUCACCUUCAUGGUACUUAGUUCGACUCUUUACUGAAACACAGAGAAACUCCUUAGUAUCUGUUUUAUACCUCAUCAGCACUGGCACGAUGUAUAUAUUGGAAGUGCCUUAUUUAUAAAAGAUUGGGAAAAUGUCAUGCACUUACUGAGUUACACAUUUCUUAUAAUAUACCUCAUUGUGGACUCAUUAUUAUAUAAUGGACCAUGUAUGUUCUUCGUUAUGAUUUAUGUAUUGUUAAUGGAAUGGUGCAAUAUUUGCGCGAAUUAUUAGGUUCUUGACGUCACUAGCAGACGACAAAUUGCUAUCGGCGUAGGUUUUCCCUUAACUCAUACAGAAAUACUCAUUGUCCUUCCGUAAUGCCACUUGUUAUUAUAUUUUAAGAAUGGUGGUAAUUCUCCUCAUCACUAUUCUACCGCAGACAUUAGACAAGACUAUACUGGACAGAUUCUUUUUUAUUGUUUGCAUUGUUAUGGAAAUAGAGAGAGUUUGAAAAAGAUUGUAAAGACAGUACCAAAAUUUGGCUAAGGAUAAAGAAACUACCUUCUAUUAAUUUGUUUUUGAGAAAGAAGAUGGUUUUUGAUUCACGAUAAAAGUAGCAACGUAGCUCUGUAUUUUGAAAUUUCUCAUGCAACUGGAAAUUUCAAUACGCACAAUGUUUAUAUAUAGCGUUGCUCUUUUGUCACAGAGUAACUUUGUUUGUAUUGACAAAACUCUGAUGAAAGUAUAUAUUGUCCCGUGUUUUGUACCAAGAUGUCUUAAUAUAAGGACUCGAAUGUUGUGUUAAUUCAUGUAUAGAUGUAUUAGAGGAAGUGUAUUGUGACCUGUGGUAAAGGAUAUAAUUGUUAUUGCAUAAUCUCUUAUAUAUUGUGAAUAUAUCAAUAAAACAAAC